GGGCUGAGCGAGAUGUCGAGCGGAAGCAUCCCGGCAGGGGCUGGCUUUGAAGUGGCUGACAGGACAGCAAUGCAGGCUCAAGAGCUGGUGCCCCUCAGUUCUGGUGGGUGACACUGAUUGAGUCCCUUCCCUCAUCAGGGCCUCUGUCUCCCCUCCCCACCCCUCCCAGCUCUGAGAUUCUGGGCUACGAGGACACAGGGUGGCAGGUGUCACCAAGCCUUCAGCAACCUCCUCAGUCUGUCCCACUGCUGCCUCAACCCCAGGGCGUUCCUGUGGCUGCUGCCAAGGACUCUGGUCUCGCCAGGCCCUACCCUAGCCCGCUAUGGCUCCCACUGCCCUUAGGGCCCACUCUCCUCAGCCUGGCGCCCCAGGCUCAGCAGAGUCUCGCCCUGCUUCCUGCCACCUUUGCCCCAGAUCUAGGGACAGGACUUGUUCCCUGGAUGCACUUCAUGCUGUCCUACUUCUGGACCUUUGCACACACUGUUUGCCCCACCUGGGAUGUUGCCAGGGUGACCUCAACAUGAACUACCUAUCAGAGCGGCAGCAAGAGAGAGAGGUGCAACUCUGCCUGUGUAAUGGGGUCAUGGCUCAGGACUUGCUAGUUGAUACAGCUACUGGGCCGUGUCUUGUCUUCCUCUCCUCCCUAUAGGCCCCCAAGAGUAGGAACCAAGACUUCUAUGUCCCAUUCUAUUCCUCGGGCCCAGAACAGUCCUCGAAAGCUGUGAUAAAUGACGGGUGAAGGAAGCAAGUUCAGUGCAAUGAGGAUCGGAAGAAGUGCAGGGGAUCCCACAGAUAUUUACAGGGGAGUCAACCAUGCCGGGUGUCGCCAGGCUCAGCCAGGUCCCUUAUUACCCACUGCAGAUAUGUUGGUCCCACAUGCCAGGUUCCUUCUUGAUUGUUUCAGAGUGUGCUUCACAAGAAGCUGCUCUGAAGCCGGGGAGAGGAAGUCAUGAAGGAGCUGAGGCCUUAGCCAAGUGUCCCCCCCCCCCCCGUCUGGGCCUUAGUUUCCCUCCUCCUAGAAAGCAUAGAUUUUCCCCAGAGCAAGCAGUGCAGGGGCCUAGCAAGCCUGCUCACUAAUCAAAGACCAGAGGUGGCCCAGGAUGCAGGCUUGGGAAGUGCACAGUGGGUACCGGCUCAAUGAAUGAAUGAAUGGUGGGUGGGCAAGCAGGUAGGGCCCAGCACCUGGCAAGGCCACCCCACCCCCAGGGUAGCCCAGAACGCCCAGAGUCAAAGUUCUCUGGCAUCCAGCCCUGGGUCCCUAGGCAGGGGAGGGUUCCCACAUCCCUGCCCAUGGUAGCACCAAAAGAGGCCCUUCCUGGGCAAUCGGGGCUCAGCGAGGGGCUCCCAGACUCACCCUGCUGGAACCCCUCCCAUAGGGAGGUGCUAGAAAGACAGGCAACACUGACUGCAGGUGUUUACGGGUGUUUACUGUGUGUACUGCGCUGCGCCCAGCCCUUCUCAUGCCUGCCGUCACCAGAUUCACGCAGAAGGGAGGAUAUUCGACGUGAGUGAGGGUCACCGGCCGCCAUGAAGCGGGGAGCGAGCACUGUCCGUCCGCUGCCAUCUUACCCGGAGACCGGGCUUCGCGGAGCAGCCAAUGGGGAGCCAGGGGGGCGGUGGUCCUGACCUAUCACGCAGAGGAGGUGCCACGCAUCCAAUCGGAGCUCGAGACAGGGUUCCUGAUACAGCUGAUUGCAUGUGAGAAUGAAUUGGAGAAUCACACUGACCAAGUGGCAAAUCUGCCAGCUGCCUGGACCAGGGCCUGGGAGACAAGGGUGGCCCAAGACCCUGCUCAGCUGUGCCUGCGCCCCUUCCCUCUACCCCUCCAGGCCCAGCCUGGCUUGUCUGGGUCACUGGCCCUACUCCCGUCACCUGCCUGCAACUACCUCAGGCAUUGCUGUUAUUAGCCUCCGAGAAGCAGGAGGUGUGACCAAGGGGCUGUGAAUUUCCCAGAAUAGUUUCUGGGGACAGGGCUGCCACCCUCCCACUGCAGUCCACAGAGCAAAGUCCCUGGUUCACAGCCUCAUCAGGCCCAAAUCUUCCUGCCUUAGCAGCGUGGGCCCAAAGAAGCGACAGGAACGAGGAAGGGCAGAUGAGCAGGAGUCUCCAGGGCAGGGGUUUCCAGGCAGAGGGAAGAGCAGGAGCAAGUGUCCUGGGGCAGGCAAAGAGAAAGGGGAGCAAGGGUUGGGGUGGGGACAGGGGCCUGGCCACCCAAAGGUCUGAGGGCACUGUUGCUGUCAAGGACAGAGGGUGGCUUGUUUUGAUUUUUAAUUAAAAUAUUACAUUCAAGCCAAA